CCUACGGGAGGCAGCAGUGAGGAAUAUUGGUCAAUGGGCGAGAGCCUGAACCAGCCAAGUCGCGUGAGGGAGUACUGCCCUAUGGGUUGUAAACCUCUUUUGUCGGGGAGCAAAAGCCGGACGUGUCCGGCUGUGAGAGUACCCGAAGAAAAAGCAUCGGCUAACUCCGUGCCAGCAGCCGCGGUAAUACGUAGGUGGCAAGCGUUGUUCGGAAUAAGUGGGCGUAAAGGAUGAGUAGGCGGUUAAACAAGUUAUAUGUUAAAUAUAUAGGCUUAACCUGUAGAAAGCAUAUAAAACUGUUUAACUAGAGUGCAGUAGAGGUAAGUGGAAUUCCUAGUGUAGCGGUGAAAUGCGUAGAGAUUAGGAAGAACACCAGUGGCGAAGGCGACUUACUGGACUGUAACUGACGCUGAGGCAUGAGAGCAUGGGGAGCAAACAGGAUUAGAUACCCCUGUAGUC
rnacentral:rRNA from 1 species